GUGCAUGAUUUUCCGAGAGGCAUCCCGCAUCGAGAGUGUUCAGGUCUUAUAUUUGUAUAAAUAGGCGAGUACUGUCGCAAGGCUCUUCCAAAGUUCCAACGCGAGCCGCGCGCGAGCAAAAACUGCGAACAGCCGAACACAACCGGCAAGCUCGUCACUGCUGGCUAUGGGCAACUGCAUGUCGUCCCGAGUCCCACGAUCACCACCGCGGCCAACGCCAACACCAUCGACGACACAGCCGCAGGGCCCGCGGAACCCUGCAAGUAAUUUGAGUCUUUCUAAUGAUGGAGGCUUGAUUUACAACCAGGGUGCCAAUUAAGAACCCCAGAAAAUAACCGCCGUUCCCCAUGUGACCACGAAAGCAAUACAUAUUUACUGGUGGGCAUCGCAUGAUAUGAAGAAACAAAUAUGUGAUCUUGACUCUCUGCUGGGAGCCUAGUAUAUGUCAUUCGUGUGAUGAACAGUUACAGCUUAUUCUUUUAUUUGAGUAGGCAGUAUAUUUCCUUUCUUCGUUUGUAUAUAUACAUUAUAUUAAGAUCAAUAAAAAUUACAGCAGAGUCC